rnacentral:rRNA from 1 species
CAGCAGCCACGGUAAUGCGGAGGGGGCUAGCGUUGUUCGGAAUUACUGGGCGUAAGGCGCACGUAGGCGACUUGGUAAGUUAGAGGUGAAAGCCUGGAGCUCAACUCCAGAAUUGCCUUUAAGACUGCCGAGCUAGCAGGUGAGAGAGGUAAGUGGAAUUCCGAGUGUAGAGGUGAAAUUCGUAGAUAUUCGGAAGAACACCAGUGGCGAAGGCGGCUUACUGGCUCAUACUGGACGCUGAGGUGCGAAAGCGUGGGGAGCAAACAGGAUUAGAUACCCCCGUAGUCCCUGUCUCUUAUAC